rnacentral:pre_miRNA from 14 species
UACUUUCCAUAUAUAAUAAUAUAGAAAUAUAUAAUUGAAAGAACAAAUGAAAGAACCCCAAAUUUGGGGAGACUCUCGCUCCAGUCUCGGGAUGGCGGCGUGCCCCAGGAAACUCGAGAAGCC